rnacentral:lncRNA from 1 species
CCCUGUUCCAACUUAAUCCUUAACACUGAGCAUCCCCCCUCAGAGUUUCCAACCCAGACAGCCCUCAAGAAGUGAAUACCAUCAAUAAAGUUCACUGCACACACAAAGAAUAACAGAAUUUGAUCUCCUUGCUGCCCGGCUUCCAGGGUGUUUCCAUGAUCCUGUUGUCAUGUCUUUUCUGCCAUGAUGGAUUUCAUUGAAACUCCUUCAUCCAGCAGCUGGUGGAAGUAGAAGCAGACGCCCACAACUAAUCACUGAACUGAACUGGAACCCAGAUUCAGAGAAGGACGAGUGAAGAGCACAGGGGUCCAG